AGCCCCGAGGUGUCUUACAUAUCGGAUUGCAAAUCCGAAGUAGCAGGGUUACACCUGCCGGGGCUUU
rnacentral:tRNA from 1 species